GAGGAGGCAAGGGGCCUCUGAGAAAAUUCUACUCCGCAGUUAUGCUGGGCCUGGAUCCUGAAUCCACAUGUACCACAUAUGCCUUCAGAAAUGUGAGUUUGGAAGAGUUUAAGGAGUAGUCGGGAUAGUUCUCUGAGAAGGACAACAUCAGAGGGAGUCAAUCUUCACUCAUCAGGCCUAGCAACUUCCCUAUUUUCCAGAAAGUUUUGAGAACAUGAGUAGCUAAGUUAUUCCUUCCUGCUUGCUCCUUAUCUGAGAGAGGUAAAAGCAAAUUGAUUUACCUCUGGGCAUGUUAGAAGUACAACCCGGGAGGUUCCCAGCUGUGGAGACUGAGAGAUCAGAGAAUCAGAGAUAGAAUAAGGAGGGUGGCGGCUGAGGAAGGAGAAGUUCAACCAGGCCAAUAAAAUGAAAGAAGUGAUAUGAGCGAUAUUUAUGACACCUGGGAGUUGGAAGACUGUCUCAGGUUACAACUCAGACUCAAAGGGCUGGAUUUGUGCCUAGUGAGUGAAAACCGGCACGAGAUGUGAGUCAGUCAACAUCCCUCUCGAGCUGAAUGCUACCGUCGGAGUCCCAGUCUGGCUCUCCCGGUCCAGAGAUCUGUUUCACAGGAACCUGAAAACCUGCCAAAUCCAUCACCCGUGAUGAGCAGAUGCUGCCCACCAUGUCUUGAAUCCCAGCCAGUGAGUCAUCUCCUACAUGUGGCCGGUCACAGAGGGGCUAGGCUUGAAAAUGCCCAAUGCUGGGCUCAGCAGAGUCCGUCCCCACCAGCGGUUUGGGUUUUGUUGUGAAGUGGAUGGGAUAGUGGAGCAGGUUCCAGGACUCCAGUCUCAUCUCAUACAAUUCUGCUUCCUGCGGCUGCCUCCCUGCCCGGAGUUCUCAGACCUGCUCCCCCUCACCGUCCCACCUUUCCUUCCUUCCUCCUCUCCACACUGCCCAGCAGGGAACUGAGCAUGGGCUGGAGACAGUCGGGCUCCUGUGCUCCACGGCAUCUGGAAAUGGAGUGCAGUGCCAAGCGUCCCAGCCCCAGGCUGGCACACCAUGGCUCAUUUGGCGGGUGAUUCAGUGGAGCAGAUCUCUCAGCCUCCCCUGAUCCAGGUACUUUGUGCAUCAUCACAGACAGAGAUGGCAACACCACUGGGCCUUGGGGAUUGCCUAUCUGCCUUGGGUUAGGGGUGUGGGCUUGGGGGAAGGGGUGAUGCCUGGCUCAACUUCUCCACCCCUCCCUUGGGCACAGUGAGCCUUGGGCACCGUGCUCCCCUCUGGUGGAUGGCAGGGAAGGGGAACCCAGCUGUGGGUGUUUAGUGGCAGGCCUGGGGCCCUAGGUACCAGUAGGGUGUGUGCUUUCACAGCAGUGUCUCCUUGCCUGAGGGAGGCCAGUGUUGAAUAGCAAAUAUGAAACAGCAUGCAGGUGGAGACAGAAAGAGACAGAGAAGGGAGAGAAAAGUCCUCUGGAGAAAGCAGAAGUUUUAUAUUUUAGUUCACAUUUAACAACACCUGUUUUCUCCUUUUGGAACAAGGGACUCCUCCUUUGG
rnacentral:lncRNA from 1 species